rnacentral:SRP_RNA from 1 species
GCUGGGCAUGGUGGUGCAUGCCUGUAAUCCCAGCUACCUGGGAGGCUGAGUCAGGAGAAUCGCUUGAACCCAGGAGGUAGAGGUUGCAGUAAGCCGAGAUCAUGCCACUGCACUCUAGCCUGGGUGACAGAGUGAGACUCCGUCUCAA